AAUAGUCCUGUAUGUUAAACGAGAAGACUUUAGAUAUGAUCCAGAGUACCACGGGACACGUGAAACCCUGUGGGAAGCAGGAGGGACCACCCUCCAAGGCUAAAUACUACCUAGUGACCGAUAGCGUAUAGUACCGUGAGGGAAAGGUGAAAAGAACCCCGGGAGGGGAGUGAAAUAGAACCUGAAACCCUGCACUUACAAGCUGUGGAAGCACAUUUCUUGUGUGACCGCGUACUUUUUGUAGAACGGGCCAACGAGUUACGUUAAGUAGCAAGGUUAAGCACUUAAGGUGCGGAGCCGUAGCGAAAGCGAGUUUUAACUGAGCGUUCAGUUACUUGACGUAGACCCGAAACCGGGCGACCUACCCAUGAGCAGGAUGAAGCGAAAGUAAAAUUUCGUGGAGGUCCGAACCCACGAGCGUUGAAAAGCUCGGGGAUGACUUGUGGGUAGCGGUGAAAUUCCAAUCGAGCCCGGAGAUAGCUGGUUCUCCCCGAAAUAGCUUUAGGGCUAGCCUCAAGGUGAGAGAUACGGAGGUAGAGCACUGAAUGUCCUAGGGGGUAUUGCACCUACCGAAGACUAUCAAACUCCGAAUGCCGUCAUCUUAUACUUGGGAGUCAGACUGUGGGUGAUAAGAUUCAUAGUCGAAAGGGCAACAGCCCAGAUCGUCAGCUAAGGUCCCUAAAUGUAAGUUAAGUGGUAAAGGAUGUGGGAUUGCACAGACAACCAGGAUGUUGGCUUAGAAGCAGCCACUCAUUCAAAGAGUGCGUAAUAGCUCACUGGUCGAGUGAUCCUGCGCCGAAGAUUUCCGGGGCUAAAACUUACUAC
rnacentral:rRNA from 1 species